UGAUUUUUGGAGUUGAGGUCACAACAGUUUAUGAAUUAGGGGCCAAAAAGGGGCCCAAAUAAGCAUUAUUUUUGGUUUUUGCACCAUAACUUUAGUAUAAGUAAAUAGAAAUCUAUGAAAUUUAAAUACAAGGUUUAUGACCAUAAAAGGAAGGUUGGGUUUGAUUUUGGGAGUUUUGGUCCUAACAGUUUAGGAAUAAGGGGCCCAAAGGGUCCAAAAUUGAACUUUGUGUGAUUUCAUCAAAAAUUGAAUAAUUGGGGUUCUUUGAUAUGCCGAAUUUAACUAUGUAUGUAGUUUCUUAAUUUUUGAUCCCGUUUUCAAAUUGGUCUACAUUAAGGUCCAAAGGGUC
rnacentral:lncRNA from 1 species